rnacentral:rRNA from 1 species
UACGUAGGGUGCAAGCGUUGUCCGGAAUUAUUGGGCGUAAAGAGCUCGUAGGCGGCUUGUCGCGUCGGAUGUGAAAGCCCGGGGCUUAACUCCGGGUCUGCAUUCGAUACGGGCAGGCUAGAGUUCGGUAGGGGAGAUCGGAAUUCCUGGUGUAGCGGUGAAAUGCGCAGAUAUCAGGAGGAGCACCGGUGGCGAAGGCGGAUCUCUGGGCCGAUACUGACGCUGAGGAGCGAAAGCGUGGGGAGCGAACAGG